rnacentral:lncRNA from 1 species
ACAUCACAAGAAUUAAUCCUUCUUGAGCAAUAGGUACGUUAAAAGGAUGCAAUAGGACAUUUUGCAAAGAAUGGACCAUUUAGGUCCGGCACCUUCAAAAUGUUGUAUUUCUUCUCCCUUAAUUCCAAAUUCAAGUGCAUGAAAAAAUAUGAUCAUAAAAUACAAAGAAGCCUUAAUGGAGAUGGUUAAAAAUCUUAUUCCAAACAAAAAAUAAAUUAUAGAUUUAAAUAAAGAUAAUGAGAUCGUAUAACAUAAUAGUGGGUAUUCUUAUUUUAAAUUACAAUACGUAAUUUGUGUUUAUUAAAGAAAUUAAAACAAGUAACUUGCUAGUAAAGCAUAAGCCCUUCACAAUUUAACCAAUGGUCGGAACCCUGGUAACAAUCCCAUAGGUGUUAACCCAAACUCGAACCCUAGUGCACAAGAAAUCCGCUGUAACAAAUGAUCCUUCCAACACAAUCACAGCAUUGACAUGAGGAUUCUCCUUCUCAAUUCUUGCCGCUGCAUCCUCCCCUUUCUUCCCCACAAGCUCAGGCCAAGAACUUUUCCCUACAUUUAUAGCCACAAGAACUUAUAUAAUUGCUUUUAAGGAAAUAAAAUUAUUAUUACAAUUACAAAUCAUUCUUAGCUUCGAAAGUUGUUAAUAUUUACCUUCGCAUUCAUCUGAAGCCAUCUUGUUCUUCCUCUUACUCUAUUGAACUAUUUUUUCUCCUUUGAUUUAUUUGUGUUAUGGAAACUAGUUAAGAUGGGUAUUUAUAGAUGAGUAGGUUAGCCUGCUGCUCAUUAUUGACCUUUCUUAGAAGCUUAUGUUGAAAGUUUCAAGUAUUUUUUUUGGGGAUAAAUUGUUUGUUGUAUUCCAACAUCAGCUCUGAUGAAGAUUAGGAUGAAGACAGUUGGUGCACUCUUCAGCAAUUUUUCUCACUUUCCUUACCAAAAUUAAAUUUAGAGUUCAAGGAUAUAUGGUUUCCGCGACCAUUUGUCUAAUGAAAUUUUCUAUUACUACAUAUUGUUUGAACAGCUCAAAUCUUAACUUGUCUAGAUUUUUCAAAAUUGGAUUAUGCUUCAAGAUAUCUUGAAACAUUUAUUGGCUUAAAACUAUGAAUUUAAGUCAAUUGAUGAUCCAUAUACAUAUAUCUAUAAACAAAGGACCAAAUCUUAAUCAUGUAAAAGAGAAAGCAAAAAUGAAAACCACAAACAUAUGAGAUAAAGUUGAAGUCUUUGAUGUGUUCCAACAAGGAAGAUUUGAAAUUCAAUUUGUGUAUGGUGUGAACACCCAAAAAUUAAAGAAAAACAAACACAUUGAAAGUCAUAAUAGCUAUAUAUCUAUAAACAACUUUAAACAAGCACAGAAAUUUUAAAACUAUAUAUAAAGAGUUGAAAGUCUUCGUUCCAAGAAGGAAGACUGAAUCUUAUAUUUUGAUUUAUCUCUCGGAGAAGUGAUUGUUAAAUGAUAAUAUAUUCUUUGAUUAUUUAAAGUCAAUAGGGCAAUAAUGAGUAUGAAGAUAUAAAUGGUAUAUUCAAUUCUUUUAGAAUUAGACAUUAUCUUUGAGGUUUUGAGCAUCCAUAUUUAAAUAGCUUGAAGACGAUGUACAAUGCUUCAAUGAUUAAUUUAUCAAGUUAAUUAAUAAGUUAGGUUCCAAGUCCAAAUUGUACUCUUAAAAAAUGGGUUAAAAUUAAAUUGGUUUCGUCUCACUGAUUAAGUAAUCAUUUAUAACUAUUUAUUCUAUUAUUUAUUAUUACUAAUGUCGGAGAGUCUAAACCAACUAUCUAUUAAGCAAAAUCAAAUUUUAAUCUUAUCAGGCAUUGUUUAUGGUUUUCUAAAUGGCUAAAGCACAAAAUAAGUCCUUAUACUAAAAAUAUCUAUCAUUUGAGCUUUUAUCUUUUUAGUGCAUUAAAUAUUUGAGUUCUUAAUCAACUAUUACAAUCAAUUGAGUCCUUACUGGAAUAUAUAAAAAUUUUAACACCAUUAGCUCUUUCUAUCAAUGAGAAUAAGAUUGUCAUGUGACAUAAACAAUGUGGAACACACAGCAUUUUUUAGGCAUGUGUUAAAAUUAAAAAAAAAAAAACAAAGAAUUCCUUUCAUUCUUGACAUGUAUUAAAAAUGACCAUUUCUUUUAAUUUGACACACAUGCUCAAAAAAUGUCGUGUUAAUAUUUAUUCCACAUCAUUCAUGUCUCAUGAAAAUUAUAUCCCGACUAAUAGAAAUUAAAGAAUUAAUGGUGUUAAAAUUUUCAUCAAAUAAGAAUCCAAUUGAUUGUAAAUAAUUGAUUAAAAACCUAAUUAUUUACAAUAGAAUAGAAGCUCUUGCAACACAUUUAAUUGCAUACAAGGGCUUAUUUUGUUUUUAGUCAAAUCAUAUUCAUCUUGUGUGAAAGAAAUGACAUGAUGCCAGUCGACAUGGUGCUUCAAUAUUUUUUUUUUUAAAUAAACUACAUGUAACAUAAAUAAAGUAUAAUAUAAGUAUUUUCAUGAAUGCAUUAAAAAAUCAAUAACUUGAUUAGGCAUUGUACAAAUAUAUAACUAUCUUCCCUUUGGAAAUUAGAAAUUCAUAAUUCAUCCAUGGCAUUCUAUUUCCAGAUUCCAAUUUCAUGGCAAAGUGUUUCCAUAUGUCAUGUAUUUCUACAUUGCAAAUUCCAAAACAGAAAUCAGGCUUUGAUAUCUUAUAACUCAUUAACGAUUUGUGUAUGUAUUCCCUUCGGAGAGCCUUAAUGGAGACCGUUUAGCAUCUAAUUAGUCCAAAUUUGAAACAAAUUAGAGACUUACGUAGAUAAACAAUGAGAUCAAAUAAUCAAAUUUAUUCUUGUUUUAUAUUACAACAUAGUCCCCAUUUAUUAAAAAAAUAAAAGCAAGUAACUUGCUAUAGUCGAGCAUAAGCCCUUCACAAUAUAUUUAACCAAUGAUGGGAACCCUGGUAACGAUCCCAUCCGUGUUAACCCAAACCCGAACCCUAGUGCACAAGAACUCCAAUGUUACAAAUGUUCCUUCCAACACAAUCAUAGCAUUGACAUGAGGAUUCUCCUUCUCAAUUCUUGCCGCUGCAUCCUCCCCUUUCUUCCCCACAAGCUCAGGCCACGAACUUUUCCCUACACAUAUAGCCACAAGAAUGUAUAUAAUUAUUCUGAAGGAAAAAAAGUUAUUAGUACGAUUACAAAGCAUUCUUAGCUUUGAAAGUUGUUACUAUUUACCUUUGCAUUCGUCUGAAGCCAUCUUGUUCUUCUUUUCACUCUAUUGAACUAUUUUUUUCUACUUUGAUUUAUUUGUGUUAAGGCAACUAGUUAAGAUGGGUAUUUAUAGAUGAGGAGCAGAUUAGCCUGUUCCUCAUUGUUGACCUUUCCAGCAGGCUUAUGUUGAAAGUUUGAAGUGUUUUUUUGGGAGGGGAUAAAUUUUUUGUUGUAUUCCAACAUCACCUCUGAGAAAGAUUAGGAUGAAGAAAGUUGGUGCAUUUUUAAGCAAUGUUUCUCACUUUCCCUUCCAAAACUUAAUCUAUAAACCUAACAUAUUUGUGGUCUCAGCUGCCACUAUCUGCCCAAUGACAUUUUCAAUGCAUUUGAUUACAGCAAAGUAUCUUUGAACAGUUCAGCAUCUUAGCUUGUGGAUAUUGCAAUAGGAAGCUUAUCCCAAAGAUUGGAUUAUGGUGCAAGAUAUCUUGAAUCAGGGCAAGGUAUUCAAACAAAUAUGGCUUAAAAGUCAUCAGAAUUCUACUUCUAUAGGAAAAAUUUUUUUGAACAUUAAUCUUCCAUGACUCCAUCUUUCUUGAUGUUGCCGCUACCACUGCUUCUUCUGUUCUCUUGAUCACCUUUGAUGUCAAAAUUCCUUGAUGCUCCAUAACAAAAGCAAACUAAAGUGGUACACCUGCGACGCCGCCAGGAGUACAGACCAACAAGCUGAAAUCCUUUCUAUUUAUGCCGAUACCAUUCCAGACAGCUUUAUUUAUUAUGGCUAUUGAUCAACCAAAUUAAAAAUGGUGACGAGAUAUGGGUAUACCAUUUUUCUUUUGCACAAUCAGAAAUGCUUUAUUGAAUAUCACAGAAAACUGAUCACAAAAGAUCAGUAUGGAGUACAAUAUGACUCAUCACACUAAGGCUAACAGCCCCCAAAAAAAACAAAGGCACCAGAAGCCUCCCAUAAAGUAAUAGCAUGGUCACCAUUAGCUGUACUCAAUCGAAAACAGAGGAGGAAAGAUCUUACUUCUAUACUAUAUAUAUUAAUAUGAAGGUUAAUUCUGGUUUUGAGAUGUCUUGUUAGGUUUCUUCUUUCUUUUUCAUCUUGUUGUUGGGUUGAUCUUCUUUUUUGUUUUCUCCCCUUGUGGAUGUGUGUUUCUGUUUCUGUUUCUGUUUCUGUAUCUUUGUUUUCUGCUUCUGCGGGUGCUGGCUUUCUCAGCUAGUUUCCUUCUGAACCUCUGUUUCUUUUGUGAUGAUUAUGUUUCAUAUGGACAAUUUGUGUUCUAUUUUGUUGUUUUGAUCUUUUAAUUUUAAUUUUGGGAUGAGUCUUUUUGGAUAUUUCAUCUGUUUGAAAUCCAGUGAAUUGUAAAAUUGAUAGCUAGUCCACCAAACUUAAAAUAAAAAAAGUUGUAAUCACUAAAGCGUACACUAAAUUCAGCAAGGAAAAAACUCCAGCCUAGCUUGAUUACAAAAUUAAAAGUUCUAGAUAGGAAAUAUCUAUAAAGAGGAAUGCCAUAAUAUUUUGUUUUCUUUGUUUUAAUCUUUGGGCCAUGUCUAGCUUGGAAAUGGCUAACGAAUGUUGAGAAAUCAUUGUUCAGAUUGAUGAAUCAAGCACUUAGAACCCUAUGGUAGAAUCAUUAAAUGGAUAGACACUUUCAUGGUCCUUUCUUUUUGAAUUUAAUUCUAUGGCAAAGCCUUUCAUAUACCAGCUAUCCACAUUGCAAGUCUGGAAUCAGUAAUCAGCAAUAUUAUGUUAUCUUUAUGCUAUCUUAUUGUGUACGUAUCCAAGUUACAAAAUAUAAAGCCAUGUUGACAAGGGUAAGGAAGAAACAGGUAUAUAAGUUUUGGCUUUAUAGAGUGCAGGGCUGGAGAGUCUUCCAUCAUCCUAUUUCAUGUUUCUGGCAGUUUGAUAUCAAAAUCUCUGACUUUUAAAUAUAUGUAGCUACCGUCCAUGAAUAAAAGUCAACCAGAUUAUUAUACAAGUCCCUAACUCUAUAGCUCAUAUAGCUUAGCUCAACAAAAGCAAAUAUUCUUUGAUUAUUUAACUAAACGGCAUGUUAAAUUCAUUUACAAUUAGACACUAUCUUAAUUUGAGCAUUCAUACUGGAUAAUUUGAAGCCUAGGAAAAUUUAAUGCUUGAAUAUCAUUUGUAAUUUUAGCCAAUUUCUCAAUAAUAUAAUUAUUAAAUUUACUGUUUGAUAAAUCAGGUUGAAACUAAAAUGGUUUUGUCUCAUCAAUGAAGAAACCAUUUCUAUUUGAAUGGAUUUCUGCUUAGCACCAAGAUUCCAAAGACCAAUAGAAAGGCAUAGGCAGUGGUAGAUCAGCAUCAUCCACGAGUCAGCACUGACAGAGCACAAGCAGUUGAAAGUGCAGCAGCAUUCAAAGAGUGUUGCCAUAACAUAAUAAACCAGCAAAAUCAGAUUUUUUUAUCUUGUUUUGACUAAACAAGAAUUAAUUACUUUUCAUUAAGGAUGAGAUCGAUUCAUAUUGGCCAUCAAUUUGGAAAAGCAUAACAUUUUAUUGAUUUCAGCUUGAAAAAUAUAUUCAAGGCUAAUCUUUACAUUUAGAAGAAAAAAAGAAAAGCAACCUAGAUAUGAAAUACAAAAUUAUAAGGCUACUUCAAAUUGGCACAGGUAGCUCCGAAGGUGGCAGAUGGUCGAAAGCCAACAAUGCAUGUAUGUCAUCUACAUCCUUAUCAGUGAAAAGCUCAUCCAACUUGCUAUUCUCAUCUGUGUUCCUAAUUCCCCAUAGCUGAUCCACCUCCUUGAAAGAGUCAUCAUGGUUUAAUUCCUCAUAUCCACCCGAUAGCUCAUCUACAUUCUUACCAGUGACAAUGACAGGUUCAACCGGUUUGCUACUUUCACUGUUGUUGCUAAUCCCAUGUAGUUGAUCCACUUCCUUCAAACAGUCACCAUCGAUUAAUGCCUCAUAUUCACGCAAUAAUUCAUCUACGCUCUUAUCAAUGACAAGCUCAUCCAAGUUGCUAAUUUGAUCGUUGUUGCUAAUCCCCAAUAGUUGAUCCACCUCACUGUAGGGGUCUUCAUCCAGUAACUGAUCCAUCAAAGAAUCACCCUCACCUACUAGGCCAUUAGAAUCCAUUUCUCCAAAACCAUUUACUCGAGAUUCUGAUCGUUCCACCAAAAUUGAUGAUUGACAUUCCAGGUUCUCUGACUACUGCAACCUUCCAUCUACGUAAUUAUCUACCCAAGGACGGCAUUGUCCAUCAUCGAGCAAAGGUAAAUUUCCACUGAAAACAGCUUCUUGCAUUAAAGCAGAUGAUGGACAUUCUUUGUUUCCAAGAAACAGAUUUCCAAAAAGCUCAUUAACCCAAAAAGCUACACACUUAUCUUCCUCUGAACAGGCUGUGUCUUUGAUCUUGCAGAUAACCCAUUCUUGAAAAUUUUCUCUGGGGAGACGAUACUCAUGCAUAAGCCAGCUAGUUUUGGUGGCAUCCUUUGGAUUUCGUUUCUCACCCUUGUACUCAUAGAAGUUAAGGGUAUUCACGUACCCUAUAACAUGCUCUCCUUGUUCAUCAAGAAUAGGUUUCUCACCUGUUGAAGACCUCCAAAAUCCACCGUCUCCUACUGCUCGACUGUCAAGAACCCUUCUAGGUCGUUUUCCAUUUGCAUUCUUUUGAGAAAUCUUCUGUCGAUGGGUGAAGACGAAACGCUGGUUGGGUUUGACGAACGGAAGAAAGCCUUUGUUAACAUCAAACAGGGCAUCUGGCUUGAUGCAAUAUAGAUCACAAAAUUCAAUGAGGUAGCUAAGUUCGUCGAUCCCUUCACCAGUCAUCAACUUGGGCAGAAAAAAGGAAACUAUUUCCCGAUCAGAAGGAUUGAACACCACUCCUGGAGCUGGAGGAUGGAACAUCAUCGCUAGGGUCGGAGUUAGAAUGAGAUUUUCUUGUUUUGGGAAAGAGAGUGAAGAGGUUUUUAGCGUCAAAAGGAAGCAGAAUGCUUUGUUUUCUGAAAGUGAAGUAAGAAGAAAUCUAGUUGCUUAAUUCUGCUUUUAUUUAUAGUUACCAAAAGAGACGGUUUAAGCAGAAUUCUACUUGCUUAAUUCUAGUUGCCUAAAACGCGUUUUUUGUUUUUAAUUUUAAAUUUGAAAUUUGGUAGCGCUGCUUCUGAUGGUCUCUUGAUCAGCUUUGCUAUGAAAGUUCCUUGAUGGUACAAGAACACUAAAGCAAGGCACCUCACCCUCACUCCAACCAUGGCCGCCGAUAUCAGGAUCUCUACCAGCGACCACCAGGCCUUGUCUCCCAUCACGGUACCUUCCCCCUCUCAAUCUCCCCUCCAAUUCCCAUGUUUCCCCCGUGAGGUUAUAAUUCGCCCCUCCCCUGCAUGUCUUGGGUUUUAGCUCCUGAAUUUUAGCAUGGAAACUCAAUUAGAUUUCUAUUUUAUUUUAAUUAAUAUCAAAUGAACUUCUUUUACUAAAUUUCAAGGAAUUUAUUUGGAAAUGCUCAUAUUUUUUUCACUUUUAAAGUAAAGGAUAUGUUUGUUUGAAAUUUCAAUGUCAGUACAUACGUGUGAUUUCUAUGGUUUCCUGUAAAACAAUGCUCAGAGUUAUUCAAGAUGGUGAUUUGGGUUGGGAUGAAUGGCAUAAUUAGCUUUACUUAAUCAUCUUUUCCAUAACUUGUUACAAUUUUUUACUACAAGAUUGUUAAUAGAUGAGAAUGGAGGGAGACUUUGAAGAAUUGUUAAUAACUGUUUGGGGUAAAGGGUUGAAUCUAUCAUGAUAGGAAAGGGAUGCACUUGAUAGUAAAGAUGUGAUAAGAACUUUUUGAUAAGCAUUAAAUGGGAUGAUUUGGGUUGAAUCCAUCAUGAUAGGAAAGGGAUGCCUCAUGCCUGGUGCCUAGUCUGAUGAGAGAAAGUAAUGAUAACAACUUUUGUUUCGAAACGGACUGUAUAUCACCAGAAUCAUUUCUCAUGCACUGUUACCAGUAUGUUGUUUUGAGGCCUUGUCUGUUGUUUUGGCUCUUUUUCCCCUGUUAGCGCAGGUUUAUCGGGUUCACUUGUAAAUAGGGAAAGAAUUGGUUUCUUUGUCUCUGCAGGACACGGAGGGUAUACUGGUGUUCCUGUUACCAGUCUAUGCUGUGAGGGUCAAGACUAACUGCCAAUCAGUCUUCUACUCUCCUCUGUUUGUUUUUGGACUCCCUCUAUGGAAUGAAUGACUUAAUUUUCAAAAAGCAAAAAAAAAAAAAAAGGUUAAAUCUUUUUCUAUAUACCAUGACCAGAACCCAGCUUUAUUUUUUUGUGGCCAAAUAAAAUUGUGAAGAAAUAUCACUUUGCUUUACAUGAAAGAGAUUAGGAAACAACUUAUUUCUUUGGGAGGUAGGAGAUGUGAUGAAAUUUUUAGGUUGAGAAAAGAUUUAUGGAUGGAUAUAGAAUGAAGCGCAAUUAUAUUUCAUAUGGACAUUUUGUAUUUUACUUUGUUGUUUCGAAUUCUGAAUUUUAAUUUGUUAUAAUUCUUUUUGGAUAUUUAAUUUUCUUGAAAUCCCAUGAGUGGUAAAAAGGAUAGCUAGUCCACCAAAAUAAAACUUGAUUGCAAAUUUAAAAGCUCUAACUAGGAAAUACCUAUAAAGAGGAAUGCCACAAUAUUUUCUUCUUUUUUUUUAAUUUUUGGCCAUUUCUAGCUUGGAAAUAGCUAUUGUUCACAUAGAUGAAUCAAGCACUUGGAACCCUAUGGUAGAAUCAUCAGGUAGAUAGACACUUUCAUGGUAUUUUCUUUCUGAAUUUAAAAUGUAUGGCAAAGUCUUUCAUAUGCCAGCUAUCCACAUUGCAAGUCUGGAAUCAGUAAUCAGCAAUAUUAUGGUAUCUUUGUGCGAUCUUAUUGUAUAUAUAUAUCCAAGUUACAAAAUAUAAAGCCAUGUUGACAAGGCUAAGGAAGAAAGAAGUAUAUAAGUUUUGGCUCUAUAUAGAGUGCAAGGCUGGAGGGCCUUCCAUCAUCCUAUUUCAUGCUUCUGGCAGUUUGAUAUCAAAAUCUCUUGCUUCUCUGAUGCUGGAUUUGUAGGAUUGCAAGAUAUUCUGCUUAUGAACUGUCACCUUCAUGCUGUCGAAAAUUCCUGAUCCAGUAUUAUGAGGAAACUGCUAAGUUACAUGUGACAAGCACAAAUACAUAUCAGAUUACACAGGAGUGAUACCCAGGACAUUAUGAUAACUAAGUGAUGGUGGCGAGAAACUAGAGUUUUGGGAAGUAUAAUUUGCAUCUCAUUGAUGGAAGCCUCCAAAUAACAAAUUUCUUUUUUUGGGCUUUUUGAUAUAAACCAAACAUCAAGGUUGCAUAAAUAACUUUAGUUUUCGGAAGUAUAACUUGGUUAUAAGAGGAAUGCCAUGGUAUUGGUUUUUUAAUUAUUUGGCCGAACUCCAUAGAAAGUCAAAGGGAAGAUUACCUAGUGGUUACUUAUUUCCAUAUACAAUGUCCCCCACAAAUUUAAGUGCUGGAACACCUCUAAUUUCCAUGUCAACUAGGGGUGCUUGGUUUAACUUCAAGCUGGAUAGCUCUGGAUUGUUAUGAAUCAUAUCAAGGGCACGCAUCUGAUGUUGAAAUAUUUAAUUAACAAUAAAUAAUUAAAAAUAUUCGAAUAUUUGAUUUAUUGGUUAGUACAUAAUUUUUUAUUUAAAAAAUAUGAUUCAAAUCCCUCUUCUCUCAAUUAAAAAAAAAACAAUGAAUAAUUAAGGGGAAGAGUAAGUUGGAAAGGAAGAUGAAGAUACUAAUGUUCCAUCUUUUCGUUAAUAUAUUCUUCCAUUCAACAUGCUAUGACACAUCGAUCACCAUUCGUCAUAAUAUUAUUGAGGGUAAACAGAUUUAUACCUUUAUUUUCACAGCACAGAACUUGCAGUCAGAGGCAGAUGGAUGAAGAAUCUGAUUAACAAUAAGUCGCCUGACAGGAACAUUUUCCAUCUCCAAGAAGGCACGUAGUCUAGAUGACUCACUGACUGCCAUCACCUAAGGAAAGGACAUAAAACAUGAGCAAUGAGCACAGAGGUUCUUCUAGUUGUUGUAAUAAGGCAAUGAGCAGAGGCUCUUUGUGUGGACACACAGAACUUUGGAUAGAACUAUAAUCAACACGUUUACCCAUUUCACCUACACGUUUUGUGCUGCAGGUGCUUUUUUAAGGAAGCAGGGAGUUUUCCCUUUCUAGGUACCAUUAUCAACUAUGUAUGAGUAUGACGACUUGAAUAUAAUCUAAUUCAGCAUUUCAAAAAUAUAUAUAUUAUAAAUAUUCAGAAAUCAAAACAUAUUUUUUUAUCAUUUGCACUAAAUUUAUUUGUAAUUUUACAUAUUAUUAUAUUAUAUUGUAGAUAUUUAUAUUUUGUAUGGUUUUAGGAUUGAUACUGUAUGUUGUUUGAAUUUUAAUAAAUUUCAAAUAUAAUUAUAUGCUAAUUUUGCAAUAUUUAUUAUUAAAUAAAAUAUAAAUUAUAUGAUUUAUAAAAUAUAACUGUAGAAAGUGCAGGCAGUGUCAAUAGGAGCUCCCUUGAGCACCUGCACCAUAUAUACACAUUCGAAUCCUCACUAGCAAUAAAUUACAAAUCGAAUACGUUUUGUGACCUUUGUUUUGACACAAGUGUAGGAUCACCUUCUAUGCUCCAGAGAUGGAUUUCUUGGAUUAUAAGCUUCAUCAGUAAGAACUUAUUGUCUUUUGAUAAUGAGAAUGAAGUAAUCAUGUCUACCUCUUCAAUAAGUCACUCAAAUUUUGCCUCCCAGUCGAGCAAUAGUAUAGCAGAUUCUCUGCAUAUGCUUAUGAUCCUCUUAUCAUCAUCAGUUAUGGCCAUAUCUGAGAUUUUAAGUGUCUUCUGUCCUUUACAGCAUUCUCCAGAACUGACAUCCCAAGGCCUCAUACCCUCCUCCUGUCCACAAGUAAGGAUUUGGCUAUCAUCUGGGCUCCAUGAAACAGUUAAUACUGGUUUCUGGUGGCCGCAUAGGGUAGGCUUCAGUGAACUUUGCCCUUGACCACUAGUUAUCUUAAUCCCAUAUGUAGUCCAUGUGUAGUCAUGCAUUCAUUUGGUCCACAAAGGCAAUGUGUGAGGGAUGUGAUCUCAUAUAUAGAAAUUGAACUACAGCGGAUUUGAAUGACCUUAUCUAGCUAUAUAUCUAAUCUUGCACGACAAUCAGCCACCAUUUUUGAACAACUAUGUUGAAAAACUGGAAAAAUAGAAUGCCUUCUGUUGAGAUAAGCUAGUUUCUCACUUUAUUGAUAUAAGACAAUUUUGUAAGUGAUAUCAACUUGACAGAGCUAGCUUAUAAAUUAGCCUGGUCAAUUUGGUUGUUAGUUUGACUACUUACUUUUUCAGAAAUAAUUGAUAUUUUCAAAUAAUUAAAAAAAUAAAAAAAUUCCAUUUAGAAAUCUUUCUUAUCACAAAGAAUUAUUAUGAUUAACCAUUAAAGCCUAUAGAAUAAAGUCUAUUUUCUGGGUUCGUAAUUUGACUUUUCGUCAAUCUAAAUCCAUUUAAACAAAUAUUCAUGGCAAUCUAGAUGACUAGAGUUAGUGUUAAAAUAGACCUUCAUAUUAAUCGUCAUUUGCUUGCAUACUUAAAAAGAACUAACCCAAAAUUUAAAAUGGAAUAUGAAGGAUGUUCUACACCGUGCUAAUUAAAAAGCCAAUUAAAAUAUAGUUGAAAUACUCUACUUAUCAGGGCUUAACAUUAAAAAUUAAUUAAAGCUGUUUCCUGAUAUUAUACCAAAUAUAUAAAUAUCCCUGCAGCUGACAAGGCAAUGUUUUUUCCAUUGAAAAUUUUCUAUAUUAGAUUCAUUGGAAUGAGAAAGAAGAAUUAGAUAUUAUAGCGUGUUUUUCCAUCCAUAUGAUUGAUUUGUAAAAGAUUCUGAUAUUCAAAGAUACUCAAAAUAGGCAUGGCAAAAUAUAAUUAUAAAGUGAAAAAGGUCUUAAUAGGAAACUAUUAUUAGUAUCUUAUGUCAAAUUUAAACCAAAUUACAGAGAUAUAUGUAUGUCAAGAGAUACAAUAAUUUUGAGCUUGCUUAUUUAAUUAUGGCUACAUGACUAGGUAUAAAUAAGUGACUUCCUAGUCAAGUGUAUAAGCCCUUUGCAUUUAACCAAUGACGGGAACCCUGGUAACGAUCCCAUCAGUGUUAACCCAAACACGAACCCUAGUGCACAAGAAAUCCGGGGUGACAAAUGAUCCUUCCAACACAAUCACAGCAUUGACAUUAGGAUUCUCCCUCUCAAUUGUAGCUGCUGCCUCCUCCCCUUUUGCUCCCAGGAGCUCCGGCCAUGAACUUUUCCCUACAUAUAUAGGCAUAGCCACAAGAAUUUGCAUUAAACAAAAGGAAAUUGUUAAUCAGUACAAACCAUUCGAGGCUCUGGAAGUUGUUAUUUACCUUGGCAUUCAUCUGAAGCCAUGUUUCUCUUCUUUUCACUCUAUUGCAAUAUCCUUUUCCUCUUUGAUUUAAUUGUGUUAUGGCAAUCGGGUAAAAGGGGUAUUUAUAGAUGAAAAGUAUAUGGUGGUUUGUUGGACAUUAUUGACUUUCAAGGCUUAUGCCAAAAGUUUGAAGUUCUUGGCAAAUUAAUUGUUCCAUAGUUUUCAAACCUGCAUUUAGCUAUAUGAUCAGAAAUCCGUCAGCUGUAAUUACAUGAUAGAUGGUGCAUUCUUUAAGCAAUUCUUCUCACGUUUCCUUUCAGAUUUUAUUUAAAACCAUCGGAUAUAUAUAUAUAUGAUCAGCCACUAUUUUUUCAUUGAAAUUUUCUAUGCGUCUGAUUACAUCAAAGCUUCUUUGAACAGUUCCAUGUCUUUACUUGCAGAUAUUGCAAUAGCCAAUAGGGAAGCUUAUCACCAAGAUUGGCUUAUGCUUCAAGACAUUUCUUGAAUCAAGGCAAGGUUUUAAAAGGAAUGGCUUAAAACUGAUCUACAUCUCUACUGGUCAAAGUCAGCCUGUAAAUAUAUUGCGUACGUUGAAAAUUGUGCAUUUUCAUUCACAUUCAAUCCAAAUUUCCUAACAAGAUAUAUAGUUAAUUAAUUAUUGUAAGCAUUCGGUUUUCAUUUUAUAAAUACUAGAGUGGUGCCCCGCUUUGCGUGGGUGUUAAAUUUUUUAUUAAAAACAAUAUCAAAUUAUAUAAUAUUAUAAAUAAAAAUAAUAAUUUUAAAUUUAAAAACACUAUAAAUAAUAGUUAUAAUGAUAAUUUAAAGAUAAUUAUUUUAAAAAUUAUUUUUUAAAAUAUUUCUCAUCUCUUAUUAAGCAAAAUUUUUUAUUUAAAUAAUUUUUUUGAAAACAUUUAAUUUUUUAUAUCUUAAUAUAUGCUAAUAUUGAUAUAUUUAUAUUUUAUUAAUUACAUGAUUCUAACUGUGAAAUCAAAUUUAUAUUGAGAAAAUAUAAUGUUUUAAAAGUAAUUAUUGAUAAGCUAUAUAAUUGAUAUAAUAAAAUUAUUCAAAUAAAAUAAAAAUUUUUGAAAGUCAAAAUGAAAUAAAUAUUAAUUAUACUUAUUAAAUUUUUUUUAGUUUUAAUGAUGAAAUUUUCUAAAUGAUCUUUAAUUUUAAUUAAUACUUUUUUAUCUCAUGCCUUUAUAAUUAUUUAGAAUUAAUCUCCCUUAUAAUUCCUUUCGUGUCUCAUUAAAAAUUAAAAAUUUGCUUCACGUCAAACUUGAAUGAAAUCCAUAAAUGUCCACUAAAAAAGUUUAUUUUUAUAUUUUAUUCUAUAAAAAAUAUAUAUUUCAUAGUACAUGAAAGCACUGUUAGCUUCAAUUCCCUAUGAACCAAAACAUUAUCAAUACGGUAAAAAUGCUCUUAUGAAGCUAAAGAAAAAAAUUCCUCUGUUGACAAUCUUAAAUGCAACCGACCUCACAAAAAUCAUCUCAAAAUUUUUUAUAAAUCAACCAUUUUAAAUUAGCCACAUGUCAAUGAAAAAAGCCACAAACGUGGCCAAGUGUGGAAGCCCCUUUGAAGCUUCCCUUUACUUAAGUUAUAGAUAUAUCUAUUUAUUGAAUCGAAAGUGUACAUUUAAUUUGAAAUAGAUCAUAGGAAAUGUAACAUGGGGUGAAAUUAUAAAGUGUUUUGUGAUCUUUAUUGAGAUUUCAUUUUUAUGUAAUGUAGAGAAACAAACUCAAUGAUGAACCAUGAUAGAGUUGAAUCAUUUCAUUUUCAUCACAGCUUGAACACGAACCAAUCUGGAAUCAAACCGUGGGGGUCUGUACCGAGGAAGGGUAUUACUAUUCUACCAUUUGAGUCCUUCCAACUUCACCUUGACAAAUUUAUCACCACGCAGCCCUAACCCCUAAAUCUGAUGAGGAAAAACCCAAAAUGCCUCUGUCCCAAAAUAUUUAAAUUACAUUUACAUAUUUUUUGUCAAUAAUGAUUUGCACUUUUUAAGUAUUAAUUACAUACAAGGGAGCCAAAUCAUAUUCAUCUUGUAAGAAAGAAAUGACAUGAUGCUUCAUUUAAAAAAAAAAAGAAGAAAUUAAAACUAAAUGUAACCUACCGCUAUAUAUAAAGUAUAAAUUAAUAACUUUUCUUUGAAAAUUAGAAAUUCAUAUCUGUCCAUGGCAUUCUCUUUCCAGAUUCCAAUUUCAUGGCAAAGUCUUUCCAUAUGUCUGAUCUCUACAUACUAUUGCAAUCCCAAAUCAGAAAUCAGGCUUUGAUAUCUUAUAAAGCUUUAUCCUGAUCUCACAAAAUAAAUGUUGUAGUAGUUGACAAGGUAAUUUGUUCUCUAUGUUCCUAUAUUACGAAUAAAUAACAGUUUACAGAAUUAAAUUUGACUCAAUAGUUCAUGUAUGUGUUCCCUUCAAAGAAUGAGAUUUGAAUUUCUUUUCUUCAAGAAAACAAAAGAAAGAAAAUGUUAUAAGAUUGUCAUUAUUUGCAACAACAUUCUCUGACAUCACAAGAAUUAAUCCUUCUUGAGCAAUUGGAGUUAAUAGGAGUUAAGAGGAUGUAAGACGACAUUUUGCAAAGAAUGGACCAUUUAGGUCCGGCACCUUCAAAAUUUUGCAUUUUUUCUCCCUUAAUUCCAAAUUCAAGUGCAUGACAAAAUAUGAUCAUAAAGUACAAAGAAGUCUUAAUGGAGACGGUUCAAAAUCUUAUUUCAAAUUAAAAAUAAAUUACAAACUUAAAUAAAGAUAAUGAGAUCAUAUAACAUAAUAUUGGGUAUUCUUAUUUUAAAUUAUAAUACAUAAUUCGUGUUUAUUAAAGAAAUUAAAACAAGUAACUUGCUAGUAAAGCAUAGGCCCUUCACAAUUUAACCAAUCAUAGGAACCCUGGUAACAAUCCCAUAGGUGUUAACCCAAACUCGAACCCUAGUGCACAAGAAAUCCGCUGUAACAAAUGAUCCUUCUAACACAAUCACAGCAUUGACACGAGGAUUCUCCUUCUCAAUUGUUGCUGCCGCAUCCUCCCCUUUCUUCCCCACAAGCUCAGGCCAAGAACUUUUCCCUACAUUUAUAGCCACAAG